GUGCAGCAGGCGCGAAAACUUUACAAUGCGGGAAACCGUGAUAAGGGAACCUCGAGUGCUGGCGCAUAGCGUCGGCUGUCCAGAUGCCUAAAAAGCAUCUGAUAGCAAGGGCCGGGCAAGACCGGUGCCAGCCGCCGCGGUAACACCGGCGGCUCGAGUGGUGGCCACGUUUAUUGGGUCUAAAGCGUCCGUAGCCGGCUCGGCAAGUCCCCUGGGAAAUCUGGCGGCUCAACCGUCAGGCGUCCAGAGGAUACCUGCGUGGGCGUUGGGGACCGGGAGAGGUGAGA
rnacentral:rRNA from 1 species